ensembl:snRNA U6 U6 spliceosomal RNA
GUCCUCGCUUUGGAAGCACAUAUACUAAAAUUGGAACGAUACAGAGAAGAUUAGCAUGGCCCCUGUGCAAGGAUGACACACAAAUUCCUGAAGCAUUCCAUAUUUUU